ACGCGAGGAACCUUACCAGGUCUUGACAUCCUCUGACACUCCUAGAGAUAGGACGUUCCCCUUCGGGGGACAGAGUGACAGGUGGUGCAUGGUUGUCGUCAGCUCGUGUCGUGAGAUGUUGGGUUAAGUCCCGCAACGAGCGCAACCCUUGUUCUUAGUUGCCAUCAUUUAGUUGGGCACUCUAAGGAGACUGCCGGUGACAAACCGGAGGAAGGUGGGGAUGACGUCAAAUCAUCAUGCCCCUUAUGACCUGGGCUACACACGUGCUACAAUGGACGGUACAAACGGUUGCCAACCCGCGAGGGGGAGCUAAUCCGAUAAAACCGUUCUCAGUUCGGAUUGUAGGCUGCAACUCGCCUACAUGAAGCUGGAAUCGCUAGUAAUCGCGGAUCAGCAUGCCGCGGUGAAUACGUUCCCGGGCCUUGCACACACCGCCCGU
rnacentral:rRNA from 1 species